rnacentral:rRNA from 1 species
AACGAACGCUGGCGGCAUGCCUAACACAUGCAAGUCGAACGAACCCUUCGGGGUUAGUGGCGCACGGGUGCGUAACGCGUGGGAAUCUGCCCUUUGCUUCGGAAUAACUCAGGGAAACUUGUGCUAAUACCGGAUGAUGUCUUCGGACCAAAGAUUUAUCGGCAAGGGAUGAGCCCGCGUAGGAUUAGGUAGUUGGUGGGGUAAAGGCCUACCAAGCCGACGAUCCUUAGCUGGUCUGAGAGGAUGGUCAGCCACACUGGGACUGAGACACGGCCCAGACUCCUACGGGAGGCAGCAGUGGGGAAUAUUGGACAAUGGGCGCAAGCCUGAUCCAGCAAUGCCGCGUGAGUGAUGAAGGCCCUCGGGUCGUAAAGCUCUUUUACCAGGGAUGAUAAUGACAGUACCUGGAGAAUAAGCUCCGGCUAACUCCGUG